rnacentral:rRNA from 1 species
GAUGAACGCUGGCGGCGUGCCUAAUACAUGCAAGUCGAGCGAAUAGACGAGGAGCUUGCUCCUCUGACGUUAGCGGCGGACGGGUGAGUAACACGUGGAUAACCUACCUAUAAGACUGGGAUAACUUCGGGAAACCGGAGCUAAUACCGGAUAAUAUAUUGAACCGCAUGGUUCAAUAGUGAAAGACGGUUUUGCUGUCACUUAUAGAUGGAUCCGCGCCGCAUUAGCUAGUUGGUAAGGUAACGGCUUACCAAGGCGACGAUGCGUAGCCGACCUGAGAGGGUGAUCGGCCACACUGGGACUGAGACACGGUCCAGACUCCUACGGGAGGCAGCAGUAGGGAAUCUUCCGCAAUGGGCGAAAGCCUGACGGAGCAACGCCGCGUGAGUGAUGAAGGUCUUCGGAUCGUAAAACUCUGUUAUUAGGGAAGAACAAAUGUGUAAGUAACUAUGCACGUCUUGACGGUACCUAAUCAGAAAGCCACGGCUAACUACGUG